GAAUGUAAGCAAAAAGCCUCAAUGCCAAGAGGUUAACUUGUAUGUUUACUGUUAUUAUUCUAUUUGUGAUAGGUUGUCAACCGAUAUAUUGAUGAAGGUGUAGCAGAGCUUGUCCCUGGAGUUCUAUUUAUUGAUGAGGUGCACAUGCUAGAUAUGGAAUGCUUUUCCUAUUUGAAUCGUGCUUUAGAGAGCUCGCUCUCUCCAAUAGUAAUUUUUGCCACAAACAGAGGGAUAUGCAAUGUGAGGUGAGAUCAAGAGAAAAUAUGAGAGAGAAACUAUUUAAGGAUGAGAGAGAAAUUCAAAAUUUAGAAGAUCCAAAUCCAAAGAUUACAAGGACAAUGGCUACAAGCGGUGUCCAGAUAAUUAAGGCAUACAAUUUUUUUUCUCGGUGAUAUGACUUAUUGUUAAUAAUCUCGUUUAAACUCUCUAUUUAUUUGUUUCUUUAUUUCUUUUAAGCUCCAGUUUGUCCAUGGAAAUUCUUGUGUUAAUAUUCAUCAAUAACAAAUGACACCAGAUUGG